GCUGGUGUGGCUCAAUGGUAGAGCGAUCGCCUUGUAAGCGAUGGGUUGCAGGUUCAACUCCUGUCACCAGCC
rnacentral:tRNA from 1 species